GGNCCUUNNCNNNCGUGAGUNCCGCUGCCGACCGAAAGGGAAUGGGGUCAAUAUUCCCCAACCCGGACACGGAGAUCGGGCUUUCGGGCCCGAGUGCGGCGACGCAACCGAACUCGGAGACGUCGNCGGAGGACCCGGGGAAGAGUUGUCUUUUCUUUGUAAGAGUUCGUGUCCCUGGAAUCGGCUCGUCCGGAGAUAGGGACGCUGUUCUCGUAANAGCACCGCGGCUCUNGCGGUGUCCGGUCCGCCUCUGUCGGCCCUUGNAAAUCCGAGGGAGAUGGUGUGAUUUUCGUGCCGGACCGUACCCAUAUCCGCAGCA
rnacentral:rRNA from 1 species